AUGUACAUGCCUAUAGUGUUAAUGCAUUGGAUCCCAUUAGAAAUCUGUAGUUAAGAACACUUGAGCUAGAGUAGUACUGGGAUGGGUGACUACCCAGAAAUUCCUAGUGUUGUACAUG
rnacentral:rRNA from 1 species